GGGGAUAUAGCUCAGUUGGUAGAGCUCCGCUCUUGCAA
rnacentral:tRNA from 73 species